rnacentral:rRNA from 1 species
CCUAUGAUUAAUUAAAUGGCCGCAGUAUCCUGACUGUGCGAAGGUAGCAUAAUCAUUUGUUUCUUUAUUGGAAACUAGAAUGAAAGAGUCGACGAAAAAUAGUCUUUUGAUUUGAAAAGUUAAAUUAACAUAAAGGUUAAAAGGCCUUAAAAUCCCAGAAAGACGAUAAGACCCUAUAAAACUUUACUAUUAUAAUAAUAAGAUAGUUAAACUGGGGCGGUUAAUACUAAAACUGUAUAAAAAAAAAUAUAAAAUAUAAAAUUUAGGAACUUAAUUUAUAAAAAAUUUUGAACAAGUUACUUUAGGGAUAACAGCAUAAUUUUCUCAAAGAGCCCAAAUCGACGAGAAAGCUUAUGACCUCGAUGUUGAAUUGGAAUUCCUCGUAUAAGCAGCCGUAUACAGGGGCAGUCUGUUCGACUGUUAAAUUUUC